UGUAAGGACACCAGCUACUUUAUGGGUGUGCUCAGAAACGAACUGCUGGCAAAACCCAUGCCUUUUCCAGCAUCAUACCUCUUCUACAGCAGACUCAAGAGCAGAGCCUUCGUAGUCUCACCAUAUCAGAUCAGUACAGCCCACUUGCCUCGCUGGCCUGUUUUCAUCCUGUGGUCUGUAGCAUGCCAUAUUCCAUGGCUGAGAGCUGGAAAAGAGCAGAACUGAAUGAUUAAUCCAGGCCCAGCACAGUUCCAAUAGAAGCUGGAGAAUUUGAAGGAAACAAUGUCUAGACAAUGCGGUGAGACAAUAAAAAAAUCAACAAGAAGAGAGAAGAAUGUUGACAUUGCUGAGAUUCUUAAAAGCCACGGAACACUCUUCGCUGGGAUUUAUGACUGCAAUUGUCCAGGAAGACCCCACAUGCAGCUUUGAAUUACAUCCUGGACACCACAUGAAACUUUGCACAUGGAGAUGAUAUGCAUUCUGCUAGAUAAACUAUAUGGGACAAAUGGUCAUACUGUAUUUUCUUCAUUUGAUUGCUUAAAACAUUUAAGCACUGCAUGAAGACUAUUCAUUGCUAGACCAACUUAAGAAUCAUAAUCUUAUGCAAGGGGAGGUCCUCUGAAUGUGUGAUAAAUGAACAUGCACUAA